UUGGUGCAGCAGAGAGGGAAGGAGGACUGGUGGGUGUGACCAAUAAGAGAAAAGAAAAAGUGUUGCAGUGCAAAGCAGACAACUCAGUAUGAAUGGUGGAGCAGCACAAGAAGACAAGUCUGGUGCAGGGCGAUGGGCAAAGUUAGUGAGGAGACUAGAUACGUGGGAGACAGAGGAGGAGGAGGAGGAGGAGGAAGAAGAAGAAGAGGGGAGACAGGAGGAGGAAGCGCGCACAUGGCUCGCAAGUGCGCUCAGGAUGACCUUUUACGCGGUGCCAAAAGUUUGAAAGUGAAAGAAAAAGAGUGCGCCAGGUGAAGUGUGCACAUGCUGCGGGGCUGGAGGUGAGAGGACGGGACGUGCGGAGUGCCGGUGAAGUGGAAGGUGAGCAGAGAAGACCAUCCGAUGAAGAGGAGGAUGACGACGACGGACAAACUGGACUUAAGCCGCAGGAUUGAGAAACGGGCUCGUUUUUUUCCUCCAUGAUCAUCCAUCCCUGACAAGCGGUGGGGAAACCACCUGAGCGGGGCACAUCUGAGAUGCCGCUGAGUCAGCCUGGGGUCAUGACCUCAUGGUCGUCAUGAGAUGGGACGGCCCGUUGGACGGCGACCGCAGGGGAGGUGGUGCCGUGACUCGCGGUUUCCGCAGCUGCCGCUUCUCGUCCAGGAAGAACAAAUUCAAGAGGUGUGAAGGGGAAGGGAGCCCUUUUUUUUUUCUUUUUACUGUUGCAUUGACCAUAAGUUCCCAUGAAAUCACCUGCAGGAGGAUGAGAUGGUCCGACCGCCGGGGGCUCUGGGCCAAACUGCUUUUCCGGCUUGUGGUUUUUCUCCACAGCCAGCGAAGGACAGUGAACGCUGACUGCUGGCGACCACAGGAAGUAGAGGAUGACUAAUCCCCUGGCGGCAGCGUAUUCAUCAGUGAUUAUACAGCAUUGUUGUUUUAUUUACAGCAACGCAACUCUAUCAAUGUGUUUCAUAAAAAUCAUGCUGACAAAACCAGCUGUUGUCUCACAUCUCAUUCGUCUCUGGAGAUUUUUGAACACAACUGAAUAUUGACUCAAAUAUGAGCCGAGAUAAAUAAUUUUACAUGUAAA